rnacentral:rRNA from 1 species
GACUACUGGGGUAUCUAAUCCUGUUCGCUACCCACGCUUUCGUGCCUCAGCGUCAAUAAUAUCUUUGCAAGCUGCCUUCGCGAUCGGUGUUCUGAAUCAUAUCUAUGAAUGUCACCUCUACAUGAUUCAUUCCGCCUGCACCAUUUAUAUUCUAGACUAACAGUAUCAACGGCAGUUACUCAGUUAAGCUGAGUGAUUUCACCGCUGACUUAUUAGCCCGCCUACGCACCCUUUAAACCCAAUAAAUCCGGAUAACGCUCGAAUCCUCCGUAUUACCGCGGCUGCUGGCACGGAGUUAGCCGAUCCUUAUUCAUGUGAUACCUUCAGCUAGAUUCGCAAAUCUAGGUUUAUCCUCACAUAAAAGCAGUUUACAACCCGUAGGGCCGUCUUCCUGCACGCGGCAUGGCUGGUUCAGGCUUGCGCCCAUUGACCAAUAUUCCUCACUGCUGCCCCCCGUAGG